GGAGCAAACCCAAAACGAUGCGCUACAUUCGCAUUGUAGAGGUCGGCGGUUCGAAUCCGCUAUGCUCCA
rnacentral:tRNA from 1 species